CACCUGUUCAUUGUUGUAAUUUAUUUCUCAGCCUCUUCUUCGUUCCUCUUAUCCGAUUGAUUUUGUUGAAAAAAAGUUCCCUUUUUCGUUAUAUAUCUUCACAUGCUUUCAAUCGAUUUGCUACAUCUCAGUAUUGAAAACAGUAAAUAAGGUGCUUACGGCUACAAAGGAUGGACAAUCGAUUUGAACUUAAUCGAUUAAAACGGGAGGUGGUUUGGGAUUUUUAUAAUUCCUAAAACCAAUCGAUCAUCUGGGAAACAACUGCUGGAUAUAUAAACUUUCGAGCAACCGAUGGAAGAUCAUGCUCUUUCAUUGUGUCGAAGAUAAACUACAAUCAGAUAAGUAUAUGCCCGUUGUGUUUUUUUAAUAACCGAAAGUAAUUGCUUAUGUCUGUUGGAAUGCUAAGUGGCUGUUUAUUUAAAAUGUGUAGGUGACAUGAAAAACUUCUUUAAGGAAACCAAUCAAGGACAACUGGGAAGUUUCAUCAUCAUACAGAGGAACUCUUCCAUUGUGUUGAAGAUAAAAUACGAUCAGAUAAGUAUUUUGAUUCAAUUCAAAUUUAUAUUAACAGAAGUCAAAUGCUCAUGUAUAUUGAAAUGCUAAGUGGCUGUUUAUUAUAUCUUUGUAGCUGAUCAGAAUACAUAAUAUAAUUACCGAAAUCAAAGGCAUGAAACUUUCUUCAUCAUACAGAGGAGUAACUUCAUUUCAGAAGGUUUUUAGUAUUACCUUUCGUAGGAUUGCCUAGCGACUGUCUUCUUAUCAAGUGAGGGAUUACUUUUGGAGGAAUGUCUUGCGUCUGUCCUCUCAUAAAGUGAGAUCAUCAAUAAGAUGGUUUGUUCCAACUAGAGUGUAGUAUUGUCGUAUAUCCACGACAGAUAGAUUAGAGCUACCCUCCGCUCCACAGGUGAUGCAUAUGUUUGGUUUAUCUUCACAGAUAUAGUGGAAUACAUACGCGUUGAUGAUGGAGUUGCUAAAGUAUUUAUUUGAAAAUUUGCUCCAUCCAUACUCCCCAAGGACCCAGGGAUACAUUAGCAAAUGAUUGUGCACUUAAAAGGAUAACAGCAGCCACCUUGUUUUCUCCACCCGUCCCUGGAACAGCCUUCUUUGCCGCAGCCAGUAGCUCAGCCUUUGAAGUUCUGGAUCAACGCUUGACCUCUUUGAAGAAGGAGUUGUAGACUCAGAAACAUCUUCACUACUUAUUAUGUAUCAAGUCUAAUUUUAGGAUUGACAUUCCGCGGUACCUGAUCGCCGGUGCUAUCAUCAGGUGGAUUAUCUCCACCAUUGGACAGGACCCUAACCUGCACCUUCCACGAAGUCUUGAAAGGUUUGAUGUCUCAGAGGAAAGCGUAGGAAGCAGCCAUUGUGAGGCUUUAUUGGACGGAUUUUAAUUGCGGCCCAAAGAAAAUGAAUACAAAGCCGGGUUGAAAAAAAAGGACGCGGAUCCUCGUUCAAGCGGGUCGGAUAAUGUUUUUUAUGUGUGGGCAGACAAUUGUGCCCUUGCGAAUUUUCAGAAUCAUUUUAGAUUUGGUCGAAUUGAGUGGCAAUUUGAGUAAAUAGAAAGAAGAUUUCGGACAUUUACCCAAACGUACUCCUCUUUUAAUUAUAUAGAGAUUUGUUUAAAUGGUAAUUUGUUCCAACAUUGAUGUGAGACAUUGAACAUUGAUGUGUAUAUUGUCCCACUCAAAAGAAAGUUUUGAAUUUUUACAUG